GACGAACGCUGGCGGCGCGCUUAACACAUGCAAGUCGAACGGCAAGGCCCUGCUUGCGUGGGGUGCUCGAGUGGCGAACGGGUGCGUAUCACGUGAAUAACCUGACCUCGACUUUCGGAUAACUUCAGGUAACUGGGGCUAAUACCGGAUAGGAGCUCCUGCUGCAUGGUGGGGGUUGGAAAGUCUCGGCGGAUGGGGAUGGACUCGCGGCUUAUCAGCUUGUUGGUGGGGCAGUGGCUUACCAAGGCUUUGACGGGUAGCCGGCCUGAGAGGGUGACCGGCCACAUUGCGACUGAGAUACGGCCCAGACUCCGACGGGAGGCAGUAGUGGGGAAUUUGGCACAAUGGGCGGAAGCCUGAUGCAGCAACGCCGCGUGCGGGAUGACGGCCUUCGGGGUGUAAACCGCUGUCGCCUGUGACGAAGCGUGAGUGACGGUAAUGGGUAAAGAAGCACCGGCUAACUACGUG
rnacentral:rRNA from 1 species